rnacentral:rRNA from 1 species
CGUGUAGGUUGUUUGUUAAGUCGGAUGUGAAAUCCCUGGGCUCAACCCAGGAAGUGCAUUCGAAACUGACUGGCUAGAAGAUGGUAGAGGAAGGUGGAAUUCCAAGUGUAGAGGUGAAAUUCGUAGAUAUUUGGAGGAAUACCGGUGGCGAAGGCGGCCUUCUGGACCAUUCUUGACACUGAGACGCGAAAGCGUGGGUAGCAAACAGGAUUAGAUACCCUGGUAGUCCACGCCGUAAACGAUGGGUACUAGGUGUUGCGGGAAUUGACCCCUGCAGUGCCGACGCUAACGCAUUAAGUACCCCGCCUGGGAAGUACGGCCGCAAGGUUAAA